rnacentral:rRNA from 1 species
UGCCAGCCGCCGCGGUAACAUGGGGGGCGCAAGCGUUAUUCGGAAUUAUUGGCCGUAAAGCGCGCGUAGGCGGCAAGGUAAGUCAGAUGUGAAAUCCCUCGGCUCAACCGAGGAACUGCAUUUGAAACUGCCUGGCUUGAGUACGGGAGGGGAGAGCGGAAUUCCCAGUGUAGAGGUGAAAUUCGUAGAUAUUGGGAGGAACACCAGCGGCGAAGGCGGCUCUCUGGACCGAUACUGACGCUGAGGCGCGAAAGCGUGGGGAGCAAACAGGAUUAGAUA